UACGGAGGUGGCAAGCGUUGUUCGGAAUUACUGGGCGUAAAGGGCGCGUAGGCGGCAUGGCAAGUCAGAUGUGAAAGCCCCAGGCUUAACCUGGGAAUUGCAUCUGAAACUGCUUUGCUUGAGUCCUGGAGGGGGUAGUGGAAUUCCCAGUGUAGCGGUGAAAUGCGUAGAUAUUGGGAGGAACACCUGCGGCGAAGGCGGCUACCUGGACAGUGACUGACGCUGAGGCGCGAAAGCUAGGGGAGCGAACAGG
rnacentral:rRNA from 1 species